GUCAAACUCCACUGGGGGGUUGGGAAAUAACGCGUUUAAUCUACGGCACUCAGAAAUUCAAUCUUCAAUCUCGAGUGCUGUAUGAAAGAUUAACUGUACAAAUGUUAUAUAUCGUAUCUGACAUAUAUAUACACACACACGUAAGAGACAGAAGAGCACAUAAUUAAUAAUAUUGGGGCCGAGAGAGAAUGCUUUAGAAUUGUAUAUGUUAAAUAAGACUGUGGAGAUAAAAAGUUUCUUGAAGUAAUUUCAAACACACAAAGAAGCUAUUUGAUGUAACAAUGACUUUUUCUUAUGUGAAGAGGAAAUACCAGUCUGAGUGAGACUUGUACAAGACUUAAAAGUGAUACAUAUGCAGAAGAAUCCAGAUAAAACCGCCCAGUACAGAUAAAUAGCAAGAGAUACUAUUAUACAAAUAGAACUUCUUGUAGAUAAGAGUCAGAUAAAGAAGAUUUCAAAUAAUUUUGAAUUUUGAAGCAAAGAUCAAAUGUAUUGUUUUCGAAACGGAUUAUACAAAAAAUGGACCAUAACACAGUUUCUUUGUCAAUAUUUGCUUUCAUCAUGGCUAUAUAACAUCAGCGAUACACACGUAUGUAUACAUAAGUUGCUAUACAAUAUCCGAACUCUCAAAUAUAGAUAACAAGUAUGAAGGACAUGCAGAGAUCAUUUUAUUUUUUCUAAAAAACGAAACAUAUGGCACAUAUAAGCCAGAUAUUGCAAGAGAAUUACGAGGAAAAUGUGGUAGUCAGUAAACUUUGAACCGGAGAGAUACAAGUAAACAGCAGCCAACGUUUUCACGAAGAAUGGUGUAUUUAUUAUCGUGCAAAUAGAGCAGGUCUUCCUCUCGUCGAUAAGAAAACAGCAAGCUCAACGGUGAAACAUGUGAUCGAGCAUGAAUCAUCAGUCACGAAUAAAGAUUUUCACGUGAUAAUAGCUCCUACGCUGAUAUCAGCAAUACUGUGCAAUCUGCCAAGUGUGUGGUCGCA